rnacentral:lncRNA from 1 species
CUUGGGCAACAACUUCAGAAAACCACUACAGCCAUGUGGAUUAGCCUCACUUCCCAUACUAAGCAGAUGAAGCCAACAUAAAACAAACUCACAACGUCAUUUCUGUGAAGUCCAAGGACAGACGACACUAAUCUAAGAUGACAGAAGACGGGACAUCCUUUACCUGAAGGAUGCAGAAACUGAGACCCAAAGAGAAGAGAGCUAGGGGUGGUGGAUCAUAAUUGUAAUCCCAGCAGUCGGGACUGAGAAAGAAGAAUUGCCUGGAGUUCAUGGUCAUUGUGGGUUACAUAGUUAAUUUCAGGUCAGGCCAACCUGGGCUACAAUGUAAGAGUUCCAUGUAAAGAAGUAG